rnacentral:tRNA from 1 species
GCGUAGCUCAGUUGGUUAGAGCGCUACCUUGACACGGUAGAGGUCGUUGGUUCGAAUCCAAUCGC